GUGCUUGCUUUGGCAGCACCUAUAUUCAAAAUGGAAUAAUACAAAGAAGAUUAGAAUGGCCCCUGUGCAAGGAUGACACACAAAUUUGUGAAGCAUUACAUAUUUUU